UACAGAGGUCCCAAGCGUUGUUCGGAUUCACUGGGCGGAAAGGGUGCGUAGGUGGUCGGGUAAGUCUGAUGUGAAAUCCCGCAGCUCAACUGCGGAAUGGCAUUGGAUACUAUUUGGCUAGAGGGUUGGAGGGGGGACUGGAAUUCUCGGUGUAGCAGUGAAAUGCGUAGAUAUCGAGAGGAACACCAGUGGCGAAGGCGAGUCCCUGGACAACUCCUGACGCUGAGGCACGAAAGCUAGGGGAGCAAACAGG
rnacentral:rRNA from 1 species